ACAUGUCUACAUCAUAGUGUUAAUGCACCAGAUCCCAUUAGAACUCCACAGUUAAGCGCACUCAAGCUAGAGUAGUACUAGGAUGGUUGACCACCCAGGAAUUCCUAGUGUUUU
rnacentral:rRNA from 1 species